rfam:Glycine soja cultivar W05 scaffold5_61, whole genome shotgun sequence.
GAGAGCACAAUACGGUGAAAGUUGUAAGUUGUGUUCAGGGGGGAGCUAUUGUCUAUCGUUGGCCUUUAUGGUAGAAUCAGUCAGGGUAAGAGGCGAUGGUUUAACCUGU